rnacentral:rRNA from 1 species
GACGAACGCUGGCGGCGUGCUUAACACAUGCAAGUCGAGCGGUAAGGCCCUUUCGGGGGUACACGAGCGGCGAACGGGUGAGUAACACGUGGGUGACCUGCCCUCAGCUCUGGGAUAAGCCUGGGAAACUGGGUCUAAUACCGGAUAUGACUCCAUGACGCAUGUUGUGGGGUGGAAAGCCUUGUGCGGCUGAGGAUGGGCCCGCGGCCUAUCAGCUUGUUGGUGGGGUGANAGCCUACCAAGGCGACGACGGGUAGCCGGCCUGAGAGGGCGACCGGCCACACUGGGACUGAGACACGGCCCAGACUCCUACGGGAGGCAGCAGUGGGGAACCUUGCGCAAUGGGCGAAAGCCUGGACGCAGCGACGCCGCGUGAGGGAUGACGGCCUGG